GCCAUACUUUGUUGAAAUUGGAUCACCGCAUCAUCUAUUGGUGGCUCCGUUGGAUAUAGCCAGCUGAGUCGUCUUUGUCUAUGGAAAAGUGAGCUACCUAGAAAUUAUGCAUCUAAAUGUUUAAUGUUGCCCUGCAAAGCUGUGACAUCGCUGAGUCUCUUUCUCUUGAUUAUCCAGGAUCAGAUUCCCUAGACAGAAGCUCCCCGGUCCUGGUCUCCUGCCCUACACACUCCAAGCAAGUGGGCCAAGAGAUUGCAGCAAAGGAGAGGUGCCAGAGAGGAAUCUUAUCUUCUGUCCUGGUUUCUCCGGCUUUCCUCCUGCCUGCAAAUUGAACACAGGGGGACUGACAUCCUGAGACCUGAUUGCACAUCCUUGGACUCAACCAACCAUGGAUUGAAAAUAUUUGAAUAAAGAGAUAAGCAGAAAAUGGUAGAUAGGAGGCCGGACUAACUUGCAGCUCCCACUCAGAUGGACAGAACAGCAUGCAGAGACCCACACUGUGAACUUUUACUCCAAAAACCACCACAGGAACAUACCAAGAAAGCCCAGAGAAUCCACAGAUCCUUUGAAGGAGGUAGGUUGCCGCUGCAGGCUCUGUGGGACAGCCGAGGAACUGUGAGGCAGCUUGCUUUCUCAGCUGGGAGGCUUGUUACCUGUGACAAGU
rnacentral:lncRNA from 1 species